UACGGAGGGUGCAAACGUUGCUCGGAAUCAUUGGGCGUAAAGCGCGCGUAGGCGGCUUGGCAAGUUGGAUGUGAAAGCCCUGGGCUCAACCCAGGAUGUGCAUUCAAAACUGCCUAGCUUGAAUCUCGGAGGGGGUCAGGGAAUUCCCGGUGUAGAGGUGAAAUUCGUAGAUAUCGGGAGGAACACCAGUGGCGAAGGCGCUGACCUGGACGAUGAUUGACGCUGAGGCGCGAAAGCUAGGGGAGAGAACGGG
rnacentral:misc_RNA from 1 species